rnacentral:rRNA from 1 species
GACAGAGGGUGCAAACGUUGUUCGGAAUUACUGGGCGUAAAGCGUGUGUAGGCGGUUUGGCAAGUCGGAUGUGAAAGCCCCGGGCUCAACUCGGGAAGUGCACUCGAUACUGCUAAACUUGAGUGUCGGAGAGGUUGGUGGAAUUCUCGGUGUAGAGGUGAAAUUCGUAGAUAUUGGGAAGAACACCGGUGGCGAAGGCGGCUCACUGGACCGAUACUGACGCUGAGGCGCGAAAGCGUGGGGAGCAAACAGG